ACGCUGGCGGCAUGCCUAACACAUGCAAGUCGAACGAAGCCUUCGGGCUUAGUGGCGCACGGGUGCGUAACACGUGGGAAUCUGCCCUUCGGUUCGGAAUAACAGUUAGAAGUGACUGCUAAUACCGGAUGAUGACGUAAGUCCAAAGAUUUAUCGCCGAAGGAUGAGCCCGCGUAGGAUUAGGUAGUUGGUAGGGUAAUGGCCUACCAAGCCGACGAUCCUUAGCUGGUCUGAGAGGAUGAUCAGCCACACUGGGACUGAGACACGGCCCAGACUCCUACGGGAGGCAGCAGUGGGGAAUAUUGGACAAUGGGCGAAAGCCUGAUCCAGCAAUGCCGCGUGAGUGAUGAAGGCCUUAGGGUUGUAAAGCUCUUUUACCAGGGAUGAUAAUGACAGUACCUGGAGAAUAAGCUCCGGCUAACUCCGUG
rnacentral:rRNA from 1 species